rnacentral:rRNA from 1 species
GUGUCAGCAGCCGCGGUAAUACGUAGGUGGCAAGCGUUGUCCGGAUUUAUUGGGUUUAAAGGGUGCGUAGGCGGUCUUUUAAGUCAGUGCUGAAAUACUCCAGCUUAACUGGAGGGGUGGCAUUGAUACUGGAAGACUUGAGUAUAGUUGAGGUAGGCGGAAUUGACGGUGUAGCGGUGAAAUGCUUAGAUAUCGUCAAGAACACCGAUAGUGAAGACAGCUUACUAAACUAUAACUGACGCUGAGGCACGAAAGUGUGGGGAUCAAACAGGAUUAGAAACCCUGGUAGUCC